UCUCCGUAGGUGAACCUGCGGAGGGAUCAUUACUGAGUUUACGCUCUAUAACCCUUUGUGAACAUACCUAUAACUGUUGCUUCGGCGGGUAGGGUCUCCGCGACCCUCCCGGCCUCCCGCCUCCGGGCGGGUCGGCGCCCGCCGGAGGAUAACCAAACUCUGAUUUAACGACGUUUCUUCUGAGUGGUACAAGCAAAUAAUCAAAACUUUUAACAACGGAUCUCUUGGUUCUGGCAUCGAUGAAGAACGCAGC
rnacentral:misc_RNA from 1 species